UAGCGCAGGGUACUGUUCAGCUAGAGUCAAGGAUAAACAACUAUCGGACACUCCAGGAGGCAGCCCGUGACUCUGGUCCAUGUGCGUUCCUCCUCUUGCCUCUAGGAGCAGGCUAGGCGGGGGAGGGGGGUUCAUCUAAGGCAGAGCAUGGAGAGAACCCAAAUCUGAGCGGGAGGCUGGAGUUUCUGGUACAAGAGGAGGCGCCGGGACGGGCGGGAAUCCAGCGCCGGGCCGCAGCGGGCACCGCCUCUGUCAUCUCGCGCCGCGGGCCAUUGUACGGAUCUAGCACAGGCCAGAUUAGGUCCGCGGACAGCUCGGUCACGGGGAUGGGCUGUGCCAUGGCACAGGUCGUUAGUCCAGGGAGCGUGGAAAUCCAAAGCCGUCAACCCGUCGGCGUGGCCCCGUCAUUGCGGGGUUGCUCUUGGAUCUUGAGGGAACGAGGGCGGCGUCGAGGACGGCUUGCGGUGUGGUAGAAUGGAGGAGAGCGACCUGGAGUUCGUGCUAGAUCUGGUGGACAGAUUCCCACUUCGAGAAGAGUUCGCGGAUAACCUUGAGCACCCGGAUCCGGUGCCGCUGAGGCUGCUGCCCAGGGGGAGGCUGGCGCUCUUGGCCCGGAGGAUUCAAAUGGUGAAUCUGGUUAAUCGGGAGGCACCUCGAUGGACGAAAAGGUUAGAUGUCGAAAGGUUUUUAGAAUUUCACAUAAGAGGAGCGUUGCCACGAACCAGGUUACAUAUCAGGAGUCCGUGGAUUAAAUGUUUUGACAAACCAGUUAACAAUUUCCUGAGAAAACGCUACGGUCUGCAACACACCAGUUUUGUGUCAAUUGACUGGACGAAGCAUUAUUGCUGCAGCUUAAGAGGGAGUGCACUGCCAGACAGAACUUCGUGCGCUCCACGGAUGAACGCACUGGACCAAUCUGUACGGAAGUUUGCUGAGGAACCGACAAAGAGUGUGAUUAAACCAGAAUUAGGAAUAAGUUUCGAUUCUUUGGACGAUGCAUACGACUUCUACAGUCUGUAUUCAUGGGAAGUUGGAUUCGGUAUUAGAUAUGGGCAAAGCUGACUGAAUGCAGAAAGAAUCAAGUCGAUGCAGGAGAUAGUGUGCGGUUGCUCGCUAAGUUGUGGGAGCUAUGUGCGGUUGUCUCCACUGCAUAUGAACCUGAGUCUGGUAUGUUUGGAUUGAAUGCAGAUGAGCUUUGUAAGGAAGAAGUCCUUGUACAUCUCUCAUUUUGUUUUAAGUACACGUACGCAUAGCUCAAAAUAGAAUAGAUUUAAUUGUAUAAUAAUAGCAAUACAUGAACCGCAAAUGCUCAACAAAGUUUUUCUUUCAUGAUAGGAAACAAACACGUGACACGUCUGACAUUGGCGACAUGGGAGACUAUGCAUAUUACCCUGUCCGGCCGGGCGUUGGAAAAAACUUGUCUCAGAUACGUCUCGUUUCACAUGCAGCUUUAUAUGAUGCGGGAUUUUCUAUGACAAAAAUUACGAAUAUGGUGUACAAAUGACCACAGAAGAUCACCAACGAGUCACUGCGCGCAUCACGGGCCCACGGCCUCACGGGCAUGGCUCCGCAUACUGUGUGAGCGGAAACGACCAAACCUGUGCAGAGUGUAGGCUCACGUCGAUUCAACCCGUCGCCUAGGCUCGUAACAGGCAUCUGUAACGGUAAUAGGAGUACGUAAAACUGGAUUCCGUGACGGACAUCUCGAGGUACAACACAACGAUUCAAGCGCUAAGAUAACGCGACCCCGGUUCAGCUGUUCUAAAAUUCCGCAUCCGAGGAUGGUCGCUGGCCGGUCGCGGCGGGGCGCGAGGAGGAGAGAGCCAUGGAGGGCUUGCCGGAUCUGGGGAGGAGAGGGCCACGGUGACCUCGGUAGGCAGCGGGGAAGAUGGAUCCCGCUGCCGAGGAGGACGGCAAACAGAGGCCGGGGGCAGCCCGAUCCGGCGAGAGGGAGGCCGGGGACGGCCUGAUCCGGCGGCAAGGGAGGCCGGGGGAGGCCCGAAUUUGGCGGCGAGGGAGGCUGGGGGCGGCCAAUCCGGCGACGAGGGAUGCUGGGGAUGAUGGUGGUUGGUGCGGAAAUUCAAGGGCCUCCGGGGUGGGGCGGGGCCCGGGCGGCGGGAGCGGUGGCUUCAGGGCAAGGCGGAGGAGGUUGCGGUGGCUCGGCGGAUCGAGGCUGGGCUGGGUGGUCGGUGUGGCAGCGCGUAGAGGAAGGCAGGGUGGUGCGGGGCUGUGGCAACCGCAGGAGGAAGAAGGUGGGAGGGGAGGUGGGUUGUGUGUGAGCGUGGGGGUGGGGGUGGGUCGUGUUGGGCACUAGUGGGGUAGGUGGUAGGUUUUUUCACCGUGCAGUUCGGUUCCGGGCACUCGUGCGGUUGUUUUUUGUUAUCAGAAUAAGCCGUGUUAUUAGAAUAAGACUCUUAAGGGGUGUUAUCAUAAUAGACCCAUAUAUAUAUAUAUAUAUAUAUAUAUAUAUAUAUAUAUAUAUAUAUAUAUAUAUAUAUAUUUGAGAUGUUGAGUUUUGUAGCUAUAUAUAUGAGAUGUUGAUUUUUUUAGAUAUAACAUAGAUGUUGAGUUUAUUUGAAAUAUGAGAUGUUGAGUUUAUUUGAACACAUAUGACAUACGAGAUAUAUAUGAGAAUUUACAAUCAUCUAUUCAUUGUGUGAGAAGGAGAUGUUGAGAUUCUUAUAGAUUAAUACAUAUGAGAUGUUUAGUCUGUACCGAUAUUUGAGAUAAACUCAUAUAUUGUUUGAACUUUGUAAGGAUGGUUUGGCUUCUCGACGAUGCCUAUGACACACAACACUGGGCCUACAUGAUGCGCGAGAAGGGGCUGAAGCUUGAGCCUCUGAAGAUUUGGUAUCACGGGGUCUCUGGUCCUGCCAUGCCGUACGACGAGCGGUACACACCGUACAUCCAGUAGGCAGGACUCCUCCCGUGGAUUCAGUUGGUCAGCCAGUCCACGCCGAACCUCAACGCUCCACUGGUGUCUGCUCUUGCUGAUCGGUGGAGGCCGGAGACGCACAAUUUCCAUUUUAGGACUAGAGAGAUGACCGUGACGCUCGAGGAUGUCUCCUUGAUCACUGGUCUUGCUAUCGAUGGGAGGCCUCUCUGUAUGAGCACCGAUUCUGAUGGGUGGCGCCAGCAGAUGAUUGCUCUUAUUGGUAUGGCUCCUACCGAGGCUGAGGCUGAUGUAGAGGAGGGAGAAAAGAAGAAGAAGAAGAAGGAAAGGAAAGCAACCGGAGCUGCUUUCACGUGGAUUCAAAGGAACUUUGCGCAUUGCCCUGCGGAUGCCAAUGAUGAUGUGAUCCAGACACAUGCUCAUGUCUAUAUGUGGUACGUUGUCUCGAGGACUUUGUUUCCCGAGUCCACGGGCAAGAACGCUCCAUGGAUGUGGCUGAAGGCGUUGACCGUCUUCGAUAGCAGAUGGAGCUGGGGUUCAGCCACUCUUGCAUAAUUGUACCUUGCUGUCAAGUUAACAUUGUUUUCUUUCAUAUGUAGCUGGAUGAUGUGUGUAGCAGGAUCACAGAUAGGGCAGGCAUUGGUGGUAAUAUGCUUCUACUUUCUAUAUGGAGCUGGGAGCGUCUGCCUGUUGGACACCCGAAGAGCGCGAAGUUUAAUCCUUGGGAUGAAGACGACGAAUUACGGCGCCCCACUUGGGCUUACAAGUGGGAUGUGGUGGCGGAGAUGACGAACGAUGUCAAUCUCAUGUACCAAAAGUGCAUUGCCGAGUUGGACACGAUUUCUCCUGAGUGCAAUGACAGCCAUAUGGCGCCAAUGACACAGUAGGGUACACUCUAGAGUUUGCCAUCAACCCGAUGCGCUUGCGGGGUAGGGAUCUUUGGCUCAUAUAGUGGCCACUAAUAUGCAACUGGGCGGUUGAGCUCCAUUUGCCACAUCGCGUGUAUCAUCAAUUUGGUCCAUUCCAGCCUCACCUGCCGGAUUGGGCGGACACAUACAAAGCACUUCAUAAGUUGGACAGGAGAAAGUAGCGGAAGAUAAAGGACUGGGACAAGCAUCAUGCUAAUUCGUAUGUUACCCGCUUUCAUCUUUGUGUGGAGCAAGCUCAUAACAGUGCACACGCCCAGCUUCUUGAGCAUAGCUCACUUGCUUUCGAUAACUACUUACGAUGGCUUCUUGAAAAUACUCGAGUUGAGAUAUGCCCGCCGGCACACAAUGAGGACAUUCUUGAAGACCCCCUAAAAUUUGAGGAUCUAUCAAAGGGGAAGUACAAAAAAGAUGUCAAGGAAGGGCUAGGAGUCCCUUCUGUUCUGGUGAUUAACUAUGUGCGCAACCAGAUCAAGCUGAUGGAAGCCAGUCUAUUCUGGAGAAGACACUGGUUGGACAAGGCAAUGAUGAAGGUCCACUAUGGAAAUUUCUCAAGGCCUAGAAGUUAAGGCGGUUAUCGAACCUUCUCGGUUGCCGUGACCCAAAAUAUGAUGAACCAUAUGCCUCUAGGUCUGGUACACCAUCAGACCACUUAUCUCACCAUGAGGGGAACGAUGUUGAUGAGAUUGAUGACGACAUUACUUUGGCGGACGCUCAAGUUCGGUCCGCAUACAUGUUCAAGUGUAGGCAGCCCAUACGCCGGUAUACACCCACCGACUUUGACAACAGAGGCAACCCAAAGGUGGUCGCAUGGAGCUUGCGGAUGCCGAGCUUGGAUGAUGAGGCGGAGGAGGAAGUGGAGGCAGAGGAUGCUCGUCCUGGCAGGAGGAAUUAGACCGCUAGCAGGCGUGGCACAAGGAACACACAUGGAAGGCAUUAGUACUUGUCGUUUUUAUUAUGAAACUGAACUUGUCGCUGUUUCAUUAGGUUGAUGAACUUGUGAGGUUAUGUGAUGUGUUGGUGAA